rnacentral:rRNA from 1 species
AUUGAACGCUGGCGGCAGGCCUAACACAUGCAAGUCGAGCGAGUGGCGGACGGGUGAGUAAUGUAUGGGGAUCUGCCCGAUAGAGGGGGAUAACUACUGGAAACGGUGGCUAAUACCGCAUACUAUCGGAUGUACCCAUAUGGGAUUAGCUAGUAGGUGGGGUAAAGGCUCACCUAGGCGACGAUCUCUAGCUGGUAUGAGAGGAUGAUCAGCCACAAUGGGACUGAUACACGGACCAGACUCCGACGGGAGGCAGCAGUGGGUAAUAUUGCACAAUGGGCGCAAGCCUGAUGCAGCCAUGCCGCGUGUAUGAAGAAGGCCUUAGGGUUGGAAAGUACUUUCAGCGGGGAGGCGUUACCCGCAGAAGAAGCACCGGCUAACUCCGUGCCAGCAGCCGCGGUAAUUC